CUCUCUCAGCUGCUCCUUUGUGUGUACGUAAAAUCAAUUCUCUGCGGUCGACAAGCCUUUUCUUUUCCGCUUCAAUGCAUGUGUGUAACAUAUACAUAUACAUACAGCCGCCAACUCUUUUCUUCCCAGGAGUCCAAUUCCAAUUAAAUUCCAAUCACCAACUACUAGUAAAAAAGGGGUCCAAACCCAAAUAAAUUUUUAUCCCUUUUCCAAAUUGAGUUGAAGCCCAACUAAUGAGAUCUCUCAUCAACGCA
rnacentral:lncRNA from 1 species